rnacentral:rRNA from 1 species
AUUGAACGCUGGCGGCAGGCUUAACACAUGCAAGUCGAGCGGAGAUGAGGUGCUUGCACCUUAUCUUAGCGGCGGACGGGUGAGUAAUGCUUAGGAAUCUGCCUAUUAGUGGGGGACAACAUUCCGAAAGGAAUGCUAAUACCGCAUACGCCCUACGGGGGAAAGCAGGGGAUCUUCGGACCUUGCGCUAAUAGAUGAGCCUAGGUCGGAUUAGCUAGUUGGUGGGGUAAAGGCCUACCAAGGCGACGAUCUGUAGCGGGUCUGAGAGGAUGAUCGGCCACACUGGGACUGGAAAACGGCCCAGACGCCUACGGGAGGCAGCAGUGGGGAAUAUUGGACAAUGGGCGGAAGCCUGAUCCAGCCAUGCCGCGUGUGUGAAGAAGGCCUUUUGGUUGUAAAGCACUUUAAGCGAGGAGGAGGCUACCUGGAUUAAUACUCUAGGAUAGUGGACGUUACUCGCAGAAUAAGCACCGGCUAACUCUGUGCCAGCCGCUGCGGUAACAC